rnacentral:misc_RNA from 1 species
CGCUCGCUCCGUCAGCGUCCCCUACGGGCUCUCGGACACACUAUAUCAGCGCGAUGGGUCUUUGAGUGCUCUUCGUAGGCCACCCUUGCCCACCUCCCCCCGUACCUCAUUCCUCUUGUGAUGCAUCAGUAACCCAUGCAACGAUACGCAGUCUGCGCUGUCCAUCUCAUUUUCUCUCUUGCUUAUCGCCGGCCUGGAUGGCUUGCGUUUUGUGACGGUGGGGUGGCCCGUGUAGGUGACGGGUGCUCUGCUUUGGUGGUUGUGGAGGUACACACGAUCGACUCACUCAUCCCCUACAGCGGGCUCUCUGCCAUCACUGUAUCUUUCAUACGCUGCGCCUGCCCAGCACCCCUCCCCCUCUCUCACUGCCUCCUGAUCACGUCCUCUGCGUCUUUGUGAUUUCGCUUCUCCGCCCGAAGCGCCGAAGCCUGGAGGCGCACCUGACUUACUUCAGCACUCAGUUAUACACUGCCUGCUUCACAUCCUCUGCCGGCUUCAUGGUCUCGCCGUCCUGUUCGUGAACACGGUUUCUCCUCAGAGCGGCUCGCUGCUGACAACCCUUCAUGCAAUCGUCUGCGUUCUUCGGCACAG